AUAUCAAUAAGCGGAGGAAAAGAAACCAACAGGGAUUGCCUCAGUAACGGNGAGUGAAGCGGCAACAGCUCAAAUUUGAAAUCCGGCUCCUUCGGGGCCCGAGUUGUAAUUUGCAGAGGGUGUUUCGGGCGCGGCGCCGGUCUAAGUCCCUUGGAACGGGGCGUCAUAGAGGGUGAGAAUCCCGUACGGGCCCGGCGGCCUCGCCCGCGUGAAACCCCUUCGACGAGUCGAGUUGUUUGGGAAUGCAGCUCAAAACGGGUGGUAAAUUUCAUCUAAAGCUAAAUACCGGCCAGAGACCGAUAGCGCACAAGUAGAGUGAUCGAAAGAUGAAAAGCACUUUGGAAAGAGAGUUAAACAGUACGUGAAAUUGUUGAAAGGGAAGCGCUUGCGACCAGACCUGCGCGCGGGCGAUCAGCCGUCCUUCUGGGCGGUGCACUCGCCCGCGGGCAGGCCAGCAUCGGUCUUGGCGGCCGGACAAAGGCCUUGGGAACGUAACUCCUCUCGGGGAGCAUUAUAGCCCUCGGCGGAACGCGGCCAGCCGGGACCGAGGACCGCGCUUCGGCUAGGAUGCUGGCGUAAUGGGCGCAAGCGGCCCGUCUUGAAACACGGACCAAGGAGUCUACCAUNUAUGCGAGUGUUUGGGCGGUCAAACCCAUGCGCGCAAUGAAAGUGAACGGAGGUGGGAGCCCGCACGGGCGCACCAUCGACCGAUCCAGAAGUUCUUCGGAUGGAUUUGAGUACGAGCAUAGCUGGUGGGACCCGAAAGGCAAGUGCCCCUAUCGCGCCCCCCGGAGCGCAGUGCUAACUCGGUGAACAGAUGGUGAACUAUGCCUGAAUAGGGUGAAGCCAGAGGAAACUCUGGUGGAGGCUCGCAGCGGUUCUGACGUGCAAAUCGAUCGUCAAAUUUGGGUAUAGGGGUAGGUUCUCCCAGGCCGCUGGUUUUUCCUGAGCAACCGCUAACUUGUCCCCCAGGCGAAAGACUAAUCGAACCGUAAGCCGAAGCCCCCCCGGGAGCCGCGACCCCCCUGGCGACGCAACACUAACUGUGAACAGAUCUAGUAGCUGGUUCCAGCCGAAGUUUCCCUCAGGAUAGCAGUAACGUUUUCAGUUUUAUGAGGUAAAGCGAAUGAUUAGAGGCCUUGGGGAAGAAACUUCCUUAACCUAUUCUCAAACUUUAAAUAUGUAAGAAGUCCUUGUUGCUUCAUUGAACGUGGACAUUCGAAUGCACCGUUACUAGUGGGCCAUUUUUGGUAAGCAGAACUGGCGAUGCGGGAUGAACCGAACGCGAGGUUAAGGUGCCGGAAUGCACGCUCAUCAGACACCACAAAAGAUGUCAAUUCAUCUAGACAGCCGGACGGUGGCCAUGGAAGUCGGAAUCCGCUAAGGAGUGUGUACGUUUUAACCUCUCUACCUCCCCCCGGGCGGGCGACCCGUGCUAAUUGUCUCUUCUAGGUAACAACUCACCGGCCGAAUGAAUUGGCUCUGAAAAUGGAUGGCGCUCAAGCGUGCUACCCAUACCUCGCCGCCAGGGUAGAUACGAUGCCCUGGCGAGUAGGCUGGCGUGGGGGUCCGUGACGAANCCUUGGGGGUGACCCCNGGUCGAACGGCCCCUAGUGC
rnacentral:rRNA from 1 species